CGCGUAGGCGGUUUCUUAAGUUAGAAGUGAAAUCCCGGGGCUUAACCUCGGAAUUGCUUUUAAUACUGGGAGACUAGAGACCGGUAGGGGAUAGUGGAAUUCCUAGUGUAGGAGUGAAAUCCGUAGAUAUUAGGAGGAACACCAGUGGCGAAGGCGGCUAUCUGGACCGGUUCUGACGCUGAGGCGCGAAAGUGUGGGGAGCAAACAGGAUUAGAUACCCUGGUAGUCCACACCGUAAACGAUGGAUGCUGGAUGUCGGCCCGUACGGGUCGGUGUUGUAGUUAACGCGUUAAGCAUCCCGCCUGGGGAGUACGGUCGCAAGAUUAAA
rnacentral:rRNA from 1 species